GCAAAAUCUAUAGUCUUCAGUGUGUGAAAGUGGACAAACAAGUGCAAAAUCUAUAGUCUUCAGUGUGUGAAAGUGGACAAACAAGUGAAUGCAGGGUUUUGAAACCAACAUACACAGAGAAGUUAAUCAUUAUUUGAAUUACACCAUUAAAGUUGCAGAUCUGCUUAGCGAAGGUUCAAAUGAACAAUAAUGUCGGAUCCCAGAUGCCCUUAUCCUAAUCCAGCGCGAGGGUUUUGCUUUUAUGAAAUUUGUUGUGUUGCAGGAUAUUAACAGCAACCGCCACCCAUGGUGAUGCCGCCGCGGUACCCACAAUUUGGAAGGAUUCUUUGCCUGAAAGUUGUUGCUUGCUUAUUUUUCUGUAUUUUUUGGUAAAUUAUGUAGUUUAAUGGAAAGCGGUUUUAGCAGAAACGACCCACAAGUCAUGGCGUACUGAAAAUGACAACAACACGACAGUGAUAUUGAUAACAUCCGCGCAUUUCAGUCAUAGAAGGAUGGGCUAUUCCGCCAUUAGAAGUUGAAAACGAUUUCUGAAUAACGCCAUUAAAGUUGCAGAUCUACUUAGCGAAAAAGCACAAAUAAACAACAAUGUCGAAUCCCAGAUAUCCAGCAGAGAAUACUUUUGUAAUCUGUAAAAGCCUGAGCUGUGUCAGUGUGUGGGACUCAUGAUGGUUACGCGUGGUAUUCGAAUCUUCUGGAGAGUAAAUGAGAGCCGAAGACUUCGGCGUUGGCUAAGCUGACCGUCGGAUAAUGUCACAGAAAAUGGUUGAAUAGGAACGAAUGACAGAUCAUGCUGUACAUGGAAUGACAAGACUACAGUGAUAUUUGAUAAAUCCCGCGCAUUUUAGCCAUAGAAGGAUGAACGAUACAGCCAUCAGAAGUCGACCAUAAUUUCCGAAAUACGUCAUUAAAGUUACAGAUCUGCUUAGCGAAAGCACACAUACACAACAAUGUCGGAUCCCAAAUACGGGGAUUCACAGGGAUAUAACCAGCAACCGCCCCCCGUGGUGGCGCCGCCGCAGCAAUCACAAUCGGCGCCUGAUCGAGAGGAAGGGUUUUUGGAAAGAUGUUUUUCUGCCCUGUGUUGCUGUUGUAUGCUGGAUGAUUGCUGCUGUAAUCCCUCUGAAGUAUUUGUCUCUUAAAGAUUACUUGAUCACUGUAAAUGCAAUUUAAGCCUUAUUUAUGUUCAAGAGAAUAUUUAUUCAGGGAGGAAAUUUCAAAUUUAGUACCCCUGAAGCAGAGAGAUUAAUAAAUGCAUUUGUGGUAAAUGAUGUUGUAUUUUCUAAGAUAUCAGUAGGAUUAAAAUUGUAGUUUCAAUUCUGUUUCAGAUUUAUGUGUUUUUCAACUAAAUUAAUUGAACUUUGCAUAUUGUGGUACUCUAUAAAAUAUUUUAGAGUUAAA